GGGGGUGUUCCGGAUUCGAUCCUGGGUUGGAGCGCGCAGCUGCCUGUCGAGAGCCGAAGGCCUCUCGUAAAUCCCCCUUCGAAACAAACAAACGGCAAUAACGAAGAAAUGCUAAUGGCUGCCUAAGUGCAGACACGUUCCCACUUUGACUCCUGCUAGGGGAUGGGAACGUCGACAGCAGGAAUAGCGGUGAGGGCCGUCAUGACCUCGCCGCCGUAUCUUCAACCAUGGCUGGCCGGGAGGGAAGCGCGCGUCCACGCGUCCCUUGAGGCGAGAUCCAAACCGACGCUAUGCAGGUAGAUGCUGUGCGUGAAGGCCCGGGACACAGGGGUUCAACUCCCCUCACCUCCACCA
rnacentral:tmRNA from 1 species